rnacentral:tRNA from 1 species
UUUCUUUGGUUGUUUAUGCAUAUAAAAUUUUGAAUUUUAUGGAUAUUAAAAAAAUAAUAGAAAA